AUACGGGGGGUGCAAGCGUUAAUCGGAAUUACUGGGCGUAAAGCGCGCGUAGGCGGUUUGCUCAGUCGGAUGUGAAAGCCCAGGGCUCAACCUUGGAACUGCAUACGAUACUGGCAAACUAGAGUGUGAGAGAGGAUAGUGGAAUUUCCGGUGUAGCGGUGAAAUGCGUAGAUAUCGGAAGGAACAUCAGUGGCGAAGGCGACUGUCUGGCUCAACACUGACGCUGAGGCGCGAAAGCGUGGGUAGCAAACAGGAUUAGAAACCCUUGUAGUCC
rnacentral:rRNA from 1 species